rnacentral:rRNA from 1 species
GAUGAACGCUGGCGGCGUGCCUAAUACAUGCAAGUCGAGCGAACAGAUGAGGAGCUUGCUCCUCUGACGUUAGCGGCGGACGGGUGAGUAACACGUGGAUAACCUCCCUAUAAGACUGGGAUAACUUCGGGAAACCGGAGCUAAUACCGGAUAAUAUAUUGAACCGCAUGGUUCAAUAGUGAAAGACGGUUUUGCUGUCACUUAUAGCUGGAUCCGCGCCGCAUUAGCUAGUUGGUAAGGUAACGGCUUACCAAGGCAACGAUGCGUAGCCGACCUGAGAGGGUGAUCGGCCACACUGGAACUGAGACACGGUCCAGACUCCUACGGGAGGCAGCAGUAGGGAAUCUUCCGCAAUGGGCGAAAGCCUGACGGAGCAACGCCGCGUGAGUGAUGAAGGUCUUCGGAUCGUAAAACUCUGUUAUUAGGGAAGAACAAAUGUGUAAGUAACUAUGCACGUCUUGACGGUACCUAAUCAGAAAGCCACGGCUAACUACGUG